rnacentral:rRNA from 1 species
AGUGAACGCUGGCGGUAGGCCUAACACAUGCAAGUCGAACGGCAGCACAGUAAGAGCUUGCUCUUACGGGUGGCGAGUGGCGGACGGGUGAGGAAUACAUCGGAAUCUACUUUUUCGUGGGGGAUAACGUAGGGAAACUUACGCUAAUACCGCAUACGACCUACGGGUGAAAGCAGGGGAUCUUCGGACCUUGCGCGAUUGAAUGAGCCGAUGUCGGAUUAGCUAGUUGGCGGGGUAAAGGCCCACCAAGGCGACGAUCCGUAGCUGGUCUGAGAGGAUGAUCAGACACACUGGAACUGGGACACGGUCCAGACUCCUACGGGAGGCAGCAGUGGGGAAUAUUGGACAAUGGGCGCAAGCCUGAUCCAGCCAUACCGCGUGGGUGAAGAAGGCCUUCGGGUUGUAAAGCCCUUUUGUUGGGAAAGAAAAGCAGCAGGUUAAUACCCCGCUGUUCUGACGGUACCCAAAGAAUAAGCACCGGCUAACUUCGUG